rnacentral:sRNA from 1 species
CCUGUAAUCCCAGCUACCUGGGAGGCUGAGACAGAAGAAUCGCUUGAACCCGGGAAGCAGAGGUUGCGUUCAAGCAAGUUUGCUGCUGUUGGAUUUCAUAAAACUUUGACAGAUGAACUGGCUGCCUUACAAAUAACUGGAGUCAAAACAACAUGUCUGUGUCCUAAUUUCGUAAACACUGGCUUCAUCAAAAAUCCAAGUACAAGUUUGGGACCCACUCUGGAACCUGAGGAAGUGGUAAACAGGCUGAUGCAUGGGAUUCUGACUGAGCAGAAGAUGAUUUUUAUUCCAUCUUCUAUAGCUUUUUUAACAACAUUGGAAAGGAUCCUUCCUGAGCGUUUCCUGGCAGUUUUAAAACGAAAAAUCAGUGUUAAGUUUGAUGCAGUUAUUGGAUAUAAAAUGAAAGCGCAAUAAGCACCUAGUUUUCUGAAAACUGAUUUACCAGGUUUAGGUUGAUGUCAUCUGAUAGUGCCAGAAUUUUAAUGUUUGAACUUCUGUUUUUUCUAAUUAUCCCCAUUUCUUCAAUAUCAUUUUUGAGGCUUUGGCAGUCUUCAUCUACUACCACUUGUUCUUUAGCCAAAAGCUGAUUACAUAUGAUAUAAACAGAGAAAUACCUUUAGAGGUGACUUUAAGGAAAAUGA